rnacentral:tRNA from 1 species
ACCUGGCUGGCUUAGCUGGCACAGCAUGGGACUCUUGAUCCUGGGGUUGUGAGUUUGGGUCCCAUGUUAGGUA